rnacentral:rRNA from 1 species
GAUGAACGCUGGCGGCGUGCCUAAUACAUGCAAGUCGAGCGAACGGACGAGAAGCUUGCUUCUCUGAUGUUAGCGGCGGACGGGUGAGUAACACGUGGAUAACCUACCUAUAAGACUGGGAUAACUUCGGGAAACCGGAGCUAAUACCGGAUAAUAUUUUGAACCGCAUGGUUCAAAAGUGAAAGACGGUCUUGCUGUCACUUAUAGAUGGAUCCGCGCUGCAUUAGCUAGUUGGUAAGGUAACGGCUUACCAAGGCAACGAUGCAUAGCCGACCUGAGAGGGUGAGCGGCCACACUGGAACUGAGACACGGUCCAGACGCCUACGGGAGGCAGCAGUAGGGAAUCUUCCGCAAUGGGCGAAAGCCUGACGGAGCAACGCCGCGUGAGUGAUGAAGGUCUUCGGAUCGUAAAACUCUGUUAUUAGGGAAGAACAAAUGUGUAAGUAACUAUGCACGUCUUGACGGUACCUAAUCAGAAAGCCACGGCUAACUACGUG